AGCCAGGAAGCUUCAGCAGAAGGGAUUAAGAGCAAAGCCGGUAGACUCCUCACACCAGCCGCUCAGCCACCAACCCCUUGGAUUAUCCCAAAGACUUCGGAUAGUUCUGUGGACAUCUAUCCAGGGAUUCUGGGAAACUUUCAGUUGGAGACGUAUUCAGAAUCUGGAGCUUUUUGUUUGACAUAAACUUUUUCAAAUUUUCAUUUAACUCAAUUAACAUUAAAAAGUCAUUCCCUCUCAUUUUUACUUUGAUGUCGGUUUAAGCUUCGAUCUUUGAGUUAGCCCAAGACAAACCUCCAAGGCCAGCUCAGAGAAUCUGCUUCACUGCAUCACUGAGACAUGAGUAGUGGUGGGACCGCCACCGUAACAAGCCCGGAGCCGCAGUCUUUUAAGCGCGCUGCCCGUAAAAUAAAAUGUGCAGCUCUGGUAGCAAAUUUGGCCAAGAGCUGGCAGGGAUGGGCCAAGCAGCACUCGGACAAACAAGACGCCAUUCCCAGUGGCUGGAUGCCCUCAUCUGUUGAAGAAGACAGAAAAGAACGCACACAUGUGGUUAAACUCACCGUUACUCCACGAGUGAUUGCAGCCGAUCCCAGCGAUGCCAAUGAAAAUGAAAUCCGCACCGGAUCUGUGACCAAAACUGUGCAGGUGAAACGCACUGACUGCAGCAGCAGCAAUGUGGUCAACGCCAUCCGAAACAAGAUGGAGUCAGGUCCGGAGGAUUACAAGCCAUUUUUAGGCAAUGAGUCACCAACACGACGUCGUCAGAUGAGGGCGCUGCAGAGUGCAGGAGGAGGAGGGAUGGUCCAAGACAAGAAGCUGAAGCUUCAGGAGAAGAAAUCUGGUUCAAGCUUGGAUACAGAGGGCAGCUGGCUAGGGGAGGACGGUGGGCUCAGGGAGAACAGUGAAUCACAAAUGGAACAAAGGGCCAUCCUGACCAGCACAAUGAGCAACAAACCCAAGAUUAAAAUCGCCACCAUGAGUGACAUCAAGAGCCGCUGGCAGCAGUGGUCUGAGCAGCACACAGAAGGUCAGAAACUCAACCCCUUCAGCGAGGAGUUUGACUACGAGUAUGCCAUGACCCAGCGUCUCCGCAAAGGCGAUUCUGGCUACGGUCGACCCAAAGAUGGUUCCAAGACAGCUGAGAGGGGCGACCGGGCCCAGAAACACAUCCACAGAGAGAUGGAGGAGAUGGUUUGGAUCAUCAGAGACAUGGGCUUCAAAGAUAAAGAAGGCCGGACAAUUAUUACCUUUGGCCGGCUCUUUGAUCGCUACGUGAAAAUUUCAGACAAGGUGGUGGGAAUUCUGCUGCGUUGCCGCAAACACAAGAUGCUUGACUUUGAGGGGGAGAUGCUUUGGAAAGGACAAGACGAUGAUGUCAUUAUUACGCUGAAGGACUAAGAAUGGACAUGCCCACAAAACCCUAAAACAAGAACUUUAAAGAGCAAGUCACCUCCCUGCCAGAGCCUAACUCCCCACACUACUUGUUUGAAAUAUGCACCUAAAGGAUGCGUCGCGUGGUGGACCGAGAUGCAGCGCAAUGACUGACAGCCCGCCACCAAGCCCCACCUCACCCUACUUACACACCUCACCCUACUUACACACCUCACUCUACUUACACACCUCACCCUACUUACACACCUCACCCUACUUACACACCUCACCCUACUUACAUACCUCACCCUACUUACACACCUCACUCUACUUACACACCUCACCCUACUUACACACCUCACCCUACUUACACACCUUACCCUACUUACAUACCUCACCCUACUUACACACCUCACUCUACUUACACACCUCACCCUACUUACACACCUCAGCUGGAGAAGCACACAGACAGAAGAGGAAGUGUUUUUGAAAGAGGACAAGUCAGAGUGAAAGCCAUGGAGUAGAGGAGUGCUGAGGGAACUGAGAGCCAUGUGGGACAGUUGUGACAAGAGGUUUUUCCUAAGGAACAGAUAAAAGCUGCUGAUUUUAUUUUUCCAUCCAUCCAUUCAUCCAUCCAGCCAUCCAUCUUCACCUAGAUGAAUCCAGAAAGGAAACCCAAAUAUCCUUCUCCCCACCAAUACUCCCCAGCUUCUCCUGGAAGAUCCUAAGAGUUACGUUGCAGGGGCAGCAGCCUAAGUCGAGAUGGCCAGACGUCCUUCUUCCCAGCUACUUGGGCCAGCUCUUCCGGGGAAGCCAGACGUUCACUGGCCAGGCAAGGGAAAUAGUCCCUCCAACCUGCCCUGGGUCUCCCUUUAGGUCUCCUCCCAGUUGGACGUGCCAAAAAACCUCACCAGGGAGGCGUCCAAGAGGCAUCCGAAUCAGAUACCCGAGCCACCUCAACUGGCUCCUCUCGAAUACUACUACUAAUAAUAAUGAUAAUAGAAUAGAAUAGAAUGGACUUUAUUGAUCCCAAAGUGGUGAAUUUCACUUGUUACAGCAGCACAAACACUUAAGAGAAUAUCUUUUGUACGUUCUUGCUGUGUUUGUCUUCUAAUUCCAUUUUUGGUUCUUUUUUAUAACACAGAUAAGGUUUCUCCUUACCUUGUGUAACGUGAGGAAAUAUGGGUUUUCUGUGCCAAAGGUUGUACUUGGCCCGGUUGGGUCAGAGCUGGGUCGCUCAGAACUUUAACCCACAGAUUAAGACCUUUGCCGACAUGAAGUCUGCAAGAGUCUGCUGCAAACCAUAACAUCUGCCACCUGCAGUGCCAGAAGAUGUUGUUCUCAUGGAAGCUAGUCAUAACAUAACAAAGUCUUAAAACUUCCUUUUCUUUAUAUUAAAUGCUGAAUAAUCAUUAUUAUCAUUUUGCUCAUUAUAAAUGUGUUUUAAUCAAAUGAAUGAUUAUUAUGCUUUGGGUAAUCAUAAUGAACUAUAAUGAAUCAAUACUUAAUUAAAUAAUGUUUGGAAGAUGUUAUAAUGACCUUCACGCACACUCAAACACUCACACACACACACACUCUCAAAGUAAAUUCAAAACACAUUUGCUGAUGCACACGUUUGCUUUAAGAGAAAGGUUUUUGGUAAGUUUUCAGUUCAUGAUUCAGUUCGGUGUUGGUCAAUGAGAGAGAGAGGACGUGUGAACAACCGCUAACGGGGGAACGGAGCCCACCGGCUCCUCCCCCCCCCCCCCCCCCACGCUAUUCCUGCCAAGCCAGACAGGAUAGCUGAAUUACAACCGCUAACGCAGACUCGUCCCGAGUCUUUUGAUUUCUGAGUAAUUUAAAUUUAAGAAAGCGCAUCUGCAAACGCUCCAACAACGUGUACCGAGGUCAACUCUGGACCGGAGCGUCGGACACCUUCGUCUUCUCUGCCAGCCAAGGUGCUCUGGAUGAAACAUCCUCCUUUGACGUCUCGGAUCUAAAAGAGGGUCCUAAGUCGGUGAGGCAGUCCACAAUAGAUAGCGUUCUGAUGCAAUUGUUUUCCAACAAAACCUAAGUUUAUUCAAACCAUCACUUUUCACUCAGACACCUGUUUCUUCCUGAGGCAAAAUCAGACGCACACACGCAUUCAUAUCACAUCAUUCUCCAUCUUCACACAUUCAACACAAGGUCUAUUGGAGCAAGUUUAAAAUAUUAACUGUUAAAGAUUGUCCAACAAAGUUGCCAAUGUUGAUUGUUAUUUCCUAUGCUUGUCAUUUCAAAAUCAUUAGUUUAAUUUGAAGAAUUAAAUCUUUUAACUUUCAAA